GCUACCUCCAUCAUUGUUUCUUCUGCAGCUGAAUAGGCUGGCAGGCAGCCUGAAAUGGGGACCUGCUCAGAAGACCCCCACCCCUGCUGGGCAUCCCGGCUCCUCGGACUCAUCAGUCUCUUUCUCAGCGUCUACAGCAGUGGGACCAAUAGUGAUGGAGGUCCUGGUCCUGGAGUUCAGGAUUCUGGAGCUCCUUAUCCUCUGCAGGGGAUCCGAGGAGGUUCUGUGCUGUUUCCUUUGCCCAAGAAUCAAAACGCUGAGCCGGAGGAGGUUGCGUGGGGCUUUGGUCCUGGGUCAGAGUACAGAAUCCUGCUGCGAGUCCGUCCUGGGGAAGCUCCAAUAUGGGUCAACCUCCAGGACAGGUACCAGCAGAGGGUCCAUGUGCCCAACAUGACGUCCCUGAAGAUUGAGAACCUGACCUCCGAGGACAGUGGGCUGUACCGGGCUCGAGGCAUCUUCACUGAAGGAGUAGAAUUUACCCAUGUUUUCCACCUCACUGUCUAUGAGCCUAUACCCAGUCCUGAGAUUCUGGCUGGGCCACGAUCCAUCACACCAGGCUGGUGCAAUGUCACCCUGGAGUGUGGGCCCAGAGGAGCCACAAAGGACCUGAAUGUGACCUGGAAGAGGGAGUACAUCCCUGAGGAGCUGGAGCAGACAGGGACACUGGGACCUGCCUCAAACUCCCACACCCUGGCUGUGAGGCUGCCCCUGAGUCAGCCCUACUCCAGUAUCACCUGCGUGGUCAGCAACCAGAUGGACCAGAAAACUGCUACCGUAGGUCUUGGGGAAGUCUGUGCCCAUGGUUCUCAAGGACUGCCCAUUGCUGGCUCCCUAGGAGCCAUUGUGGUUCUGCUGCUGAUCCUGGGAUCUGGACUGUGUUUUUGGAAGAAAUGUGGAAAGAAGAAGAUAGAGAUGAGAAGAGGCAGGUUGCACUUUUCCUCCCAUACCCGGAUACCACUUUUUCCUCACUGGACCCUUGACAGCCUUUCUCCUGCAUUUUUCUACCUGGGGAAUGUCCCCGUAGAGGGUGCAGGAUCACCAGAGGACCAAAAAGAUGAUGACAGCAUCCAGUAUGUGGAGCUGAACCAGCAGGAAUCUCAAGAGGGCUUGUACAUGGGUGUCAGUGAACAACAUUCAGGGCCUCUCACUACUAUCUACAGUGAAGUCUGUAAGCCAGGCCAUGCUAUGAAGAUAAUUUAAUUGGAGGAAACAGAAGAAUCGGCGCUCCUAGGAGUUUGAUCCCUGCAGACACCUGCCUCUUCCAGCUCUGGUCCAGCUCCAGCUGCCUUUGGUCUGGUUUACCCUGAUGCUCACGGCUGACUCUGGGAAUAUGUAGCCUUAUCACUUCCUCUAGCACCUCCUUAAGCUCUGUUCCCUCUCAGGAUCCUCACACCUGCAAAUUGAGUGCCUCUUCUCUGUCCAGACCCCUCUUCUCCUGAAGCUUCCCAAAGAGGACCUUCCUGACUGUGCACGUGUUGACCCCUACAGCCUCUGCCGCGUGGCUGGUGUGUGUCUUUCUGAGAACACGAGCCCAGGCAUGGGGACUAUGUGGAAGUUUUGUCCACACCACAGAGAAGGUAAUUAUUAACCAAGAAAAUUAUUAACUGGUGCUGGAUGCUGAGUCAGGAGUCCAUGGAGGCAGCAUGGGCAGGACUCACCCGGGGCUCCCUCUGGAGAAUGCUGGGGCUGUAUGAAGCCAAUGCCAAGAGGACAAGCACCACCCCCUAUAAAAGGUCUGGACAACACUUCUUCCCAACUCCUGAGGGACUCGCAGACUGAAACCCAGAGCAUAGAGACUUCUGAAGGUCUUUCUGGUGGUGAGUCCACAUGGAAGCAAAAAUGGACAUGAUGACCUCCAGUGACCUGCCUGGCCCAGAGGGCUGAGGUGAGGACUUCCCCACCCCACCACCAGCUUCACACUGAUGUUUCAGCUGCACCACAAUGUGGGGGAGAUCUUCCCCUCCCUGAGCGUCCUCAGGUCCUAGAAGCCCCUGCUUCCUGCCUUGGGUCACAGAUCUUGGGUCACAAGUGGGUUUAAUCUAGGACCAUGAGCUGCUAUGGCUUGUCUGAUGACCCAGAUUCCUGGGUCAGUUGGUUUCCUUCCUUGCUCAGUUCCACUUGGCCAACUCAUAUCUGCCUUCAGACUGUCUAAACAUGGUCCCUGCCAAGGGCCUGGACAUUAUGAAGCAAUGCUAGGAGCCUCCUGGAUGAUAGAUGGGUGAGAGUGGAGGUGGACGAAUCUAUAAUAGGACUCCAUUCCUGGUUUCCAGUCCCUCAGGUGGAGCAAAAAACUGAGGGAGAGAUAGGCACCAUGGCCUCAUAGACUUCCCAGGUAACUGGUCAUGGCUGUGUCUUAAUGCCAAUAUGCCCAAGAGCAUUAUAAGAUGUGACCAUCCAGUAGCCAGUACCACCUCACCACAAUCAGAAAAAAAUAAAAUAAAAUGAAGGGACCUGGGUUUUCUGAACCUAUAACAAACUAAGUUUUGUCCCAGGCACUUUGGAAAUAUUAUUCUUCUAAUUUGUACAAGGACCUUCUAGAGUUAGUAUUAUUAUUCCCCCUUUUGCAGAACAGAAAACUGACAUCCUAAACUAGUUGGUGGCAGAGCAAAGUCUUCAUCCAACAAAGGUCAUACCUUACCCUUCACCAUUUAGUCACUGACGACCUUGGAAUCCUAGUGUAUUCAGAUGGGAUUAUCCUCCAUUUGUUCCUCUCCCAAGGAUAGUAGGCUCUGACUGAGGUGUCUCAGUAUUUCCAUUGAUAUGGAGCAGAUGGUGGUUCAAAAGGAACUACUCCUUAAAUAGACAGUGGGGCCUUGGUGGGUGAGACAUAGAAUGAGAGACCUUGACUUUUGAUGCAGAUGAGACAUUUCAAAAGGAGAUGUUUCCCCCUCUUGGGUCUUUGUCCAAGGCCUUCUUUUCCAUGUAAGAUGGUUGUAGGUGUCAUCACCAUCUUCAAUCCAGUGUUAUUUGCAGUGUUAUUCAUAAAAUCAUUCAACAUUCAAUAGGCUUUCCAUGAGUCUUUCAUUUAGACCUUAAACAAUUCUGUGAGCAGAGAUCCCUAUUACACAGAUGAAGAGAUAAAAUCUAGAGAUGGGAAGUACUCCCAAGGCUUUCUCCUGGGUGUAGAUAGUGGGGGCAUGAUUUGGACCACAGAGGAUCAUAACUUCAUUCAAUUUUUGACUCCUUCUUCUCCCUCAUCCCAGAUACCUAACCAAUCACCAUGUGCAAUUGAGCUAAUCUUCAUUAAGCUUCUUGCAGUCCAUCCUCCUCUUAUUUUUUAUCCCUAUUGUCUACCUAAAAUAUCUACUGCUUACAGGACAUCUUCACUUGGAUGUCUAACAUGUCUUAAUUUGAACUUCUUGGAGUUCCUGAUGUGGCGCGUCGGAAACGAAUCCGACUAGGAACCAUGGGGUUGCGGGUUCGAUCCCUGUCCUUGCUCAGUGGGUUAAG